AGGGUAAAAAGGUUUCAAAGUAAGGUAACUGCUUGGAGAAAAGAGCUUUGCUGGAAGUGUUAGGCAGGAGGUAUCUUUGGAGUUAAUAUAUUGAUUAUCAAGGGAAAGGAUGAGCUUAAUCCAGUUCCCUCUCCCAUGUAGGAUUUAUUAUCUAUGGGUUGUGAAAGUCCAAAGCAAGCAGAGACCAGAAUGUGGUAAAAUGUGGAAAGGAUGAGCUUAAUGGAUAUUGAUUAAAGGAAUCCUACAUAAUCCUCAUUGGAUAUUUUACUGACUGGUUGGAUUAGGUGUAUUCAACUCUAAGCCUUUUUGCAAGGUUGUAGUGAAAUUCAAGUACAUAUGAAAUGAAAUAUUUUGAUCUUAUAUUCAUGUAUUGACAACUUUGCCUGAUUUGUGUGUAGAUUUUUUCACCUAUUUACUUUAGCUUACCCUACUGAAUUCUCCAUAUAAAUUUUUUUUAUUCAAAGCAUUAGGAGUUAUUUUAGCAA